rnacentral:rRNA from 1 species
UACGGGGGGGGCAAGCGUUGUUCGGAAUUACUGGGCGUAAAGGGCUCGUAGGCGGCCAACUAAGUCAGACGUGAAAUCCCUCGGCUUAACCGGGGAACUGCGUCUGAUACUGGAUGGCUAGAGGUUGGGAGAGGGAUGCGGAAUUCCAGGUGUAGCGGUGAAAUGCGUAGAUAUCUGGAGGAACACCGGUGGCGAAGGCGGCAUCCUGGACCGGUAUUGACGCUGAGGCGCGAAAGCUAGGGGAGCAAACGGG